rnacentral:lncRNA from 1 species
CAAAAUAGGUGACCGCAGAAAUAGUUAGUGACACGUCUUUGUAGCUGGGAUUCAGGGGUUUUGUUCGCUUCCACAGAUGAGUUGUUUCGUCUUAGUGCAACACCCGGAGAGGUCUAUCCUCUGGUCUGAGUUCUUUUGUUUUUCAAAACAGAAGAUGGUCGAGCAACGGGUUCUACUCAAGGCUCCUACUCCAAAUUUGAAAGCAGGGUAAAAAAGUCAACUCUAAUAUCUACUCCAAUCCUAAAAAUGGGGAUGCCUCUAAAUCUCCCCAUGGCCUGUAGGGUCUCCAGUGAGCCCCUCUAUCUAUCAAACCCACCCAUCAACCCCUCUUUCUCCUUCCUCCCAUGACCUGCUGCUGACACAAGUCCAUGCCACCACCAUUGUGCUAUGCCACACCUCGACCCCCUCUUGUUGCACCCCACCUCCCAUCGCCACACCCCGUCGCUCCAGGGGUGGAGCCUUGUAGUGAAGAGCAAGUGCACGAGAAGGAAGAGGGUGAAGGGGGAGAGGUGGGCAUGGCCCAGGAGGUGGAAAAAAUUUAGACCAGAACAAAAAUGAGAGUUAGGGGUUAUUGCUGGAGUUGAGUGUAUUUUGUGGCUAAAAAAGGAGGGGUUUAUCGAGGCUUGUACUUGAGGGCAAUCUGGUUCGAGUUGCUCAGACUAUGGUUUAUCUGAUUUAUUUUUUGCACGGCGGAGAGAGGACUAUCUCCAGGAUUCGUGAUUAGUAGGCGCACAAAAGGAUAGUAAAUAUAUGCAUGACCUAAGUAUUCCUAAGCAGGUGCUUUCAUACAAAUGGUCACUGAAACUGGAGGUACACGCAUCUGCUGCUAAGCCAUUUGUACCAACUGGUGGCAAUGUGCUAAUAA